AAUAUCAUUGAUAAAUUUCAGAUAAAAAUGGCUGGAUUGGAUUUCAACUAUGUAGGUUUAGUGCAAGAAAAAUGCACCAAGAAGGGACUACCAAAUCCAGUUUAUACGGAUGGUGCCGUAUCCGGGUUGGAUCACUCAAAACAGUUUGUCAUAAGUUGUAAGUUGGGUACAAUACUAGAAAGCGGAGAGGGGUCUACUAAGAAGGAAGCUAAGAGGAACGCAGCCAAGAAGGUUUAUGAGAAGUUGGAAGAGGGGGAUGUGGCCAUCUUUUCUACGGAAAUAUCUACUCUAAGUAUUGAUGCGAAGGAUAUUAUUGAGAAGGUUUCAUCUUUUACUGGUUUAACUGUUGAGGUUAUGACCGUGGAAGCUGCAGAGAAGGUUGCAAGUUUCUACAGAAGCCUGAGGAAUGCAAGCGGACCAAAGAUAUCUGAACUGCAGUCCAAACCUGACUCGACUAGUAGUGAUAAAGAGUUCUGGAAAAUAUUAUCUGAAGUUGCUGCUGAACAAAACUUCAAGGUGGACUACACUGAGAUAGAGGAGGGGUCGGACGAAGAUGAAGCUCAGUGUAUGAUUAGAGUUGGAGAUCUCCCGGCAACAAUCACCUUCGGUCUAGGAAAGGACAAGGAGAUGGCUAGGAACGAGGCUGCCAGGGCUGCUCUACAGUACAUGAGAAUUCUGGUUUCACAGCUGAGUUAGAAACUAGGAUUCUGUAUUCCGACUUCAGAGCAUGUAAACAGACUCAUCUGUUCUAUCAAUAAAUGUAAAAAUUAUCCGUUGAUUCUGUAUUCCGACUUCAGAUCAUGUAAACUGACUCAUCUGUUCUAUCAAUAAACGUAAAAAUUAU
rnacentral:misc_RNA from 1 species